CAGCCGCCACGGGAAUACGAAGGGUGCAAGCGUUACUCGGAAUUACUGGGCGUAAAGCGUGCGUAGGUGGUGGUUUAAGUCCGUUGUGAAAGCCCUGGGCUCAACCUGGGAAUUGCAGUGGAUACUGGGUCACUAGAGUGUGGUAGAGGAUAGUGGAAUUUCCGGUGUAGCAGUGAAAUGCGUAGAGAUCGGAAUGAACAUCUGUGGCGAAGGCGACUAUCUGGGCCAACACUGACACUGAGGCACGAAAGCGUGGGGAGCAAACAGGAUUAGAUACCCGUGUAGUCCCUGUCUCUUAUAC
rnacentral:rRNA from 1 species